UGCAGUCGAACGGUGAACACGGAGCUUGCUCUGUGGGAUCAGUGGCGAACGGGUGAGUAACACGUGAGCAACCUGCCCCUGACUCUGGGAUAAGCGCUGGAAACGGCGUCUAAUACUGGAUAUGUGACGUGACCGCAUGGUCUGCGUCUGGAAAGAAUUUCGGUUGGGGAUGGGCUCGCGGCCUAUCAGCUUGUUGGUGAGGUAAUGGCUCACCAAGGCGUCGACGGGUAGCCGGCCUGAGAGGGUGACCGGCCACACUGGGACUGAGACACGGCCCAGACUCCUACGGGAGGCAGCAGUGGGGAAUAUUGCACAAUGGGCGCAAGCCUGAUGCAGCAACGCCGCGUGAGGGACGACGGCCUUCGGGUUGUAAACCUCUUUUAGCAGGGAAGAAGCGAAAGUGACGGUACCUGCAGAAAAAGCGCCGGCUAACUACGUGCCAGCAGCCGCGGUAAUACGUAGGGCGCAAGCGUUAUCCGGAAUUAUUGGGCGUAAAGAGCUCGUAGGCGGUUUGUCGCGUCUGCUGUGAAAUCCGGAGGCUCAACCUCCGGCCUGCAGUGGGUACGGGCAGACUAGAGUGCGGUAGGGGAGAUUGGAAUUCCUGGUGUAGCGGUGGAAUGCGCAGAUAUCAGGAGGAACACCGAUGGCGAAGGCAGAUCUCUGGGCCGUAACUGACGCUGAGGAGCGAAAGGGUGGGGAGCAAACAGGCUUAGAUACCCUGGUAGUCCACCCCGUAAACGUUGGGAACUAGUUGUGGGGUCCAUUCCACGGAUUCCGUGACGCAGCUAACGCAUUAAGUUCCCCGCCUGGGGAGUACGGCCGCAAGGCUAAAACUCAAAGGAAUUGACGGGGACCCGCACAAGCGGCGGAGCAUGCGG
rnacentral:rRNA from 1 species